rnacentral:rRNA from 1 species
AGUGAACGCUGGCGGCAUGCCUAACACAUGCAAGUCGAACGGCAGCACAGUAAGAUCUUGCUCUUACGGGUGGCGACUGACGGGCGAGUGAGGCAUACAUCGCCAUCUACUAUUUCGUGGAGGAUAACGUAGGGACGCUGACACUAAUACCGCAUACAUCCAACGGGUGAAAGCAGUAGAUCUUGGCGCCUUUCCUGUUUGAUUUAGCCGAUUCCGUGUCGGAUUAGCUAGUUGGUAAGGUAACGGCUCACCAAGGCAACGAUGCGUAGCUGAUCUGAGAGGAUGAUCAGCCACACUGGAACUGAGACACGGUCCAGACUCCUACGGGAGGCAGCAGUGGGGAAUAUUGGACAAUGGGCGAAAGCCUGAUCCAGCAAUACCGCGUGGGUGAAGAAGGCCUUCGGAUUGUAAAGCCCUGUUGUUGGGAAAGAAAAGCAGUGGGAUAAUCCACGGCCGUCCUGACGGUACCUAAAGAGAAAGCAACGGCUAACUUCGUG